rnacentral:rRNA from 1 species
AGGGCUGCGGUACUCUGACCGUGCAAAGGUAGCAUAAUGAUUAGUCUUUUAAUUGGAGACUGGAAUGAACGGUCGGAUGAGGGACAAGCUGUCUUUUUGAGGGAGCUAGAAUUUAACUUUUCAGUGAAAAGGCUGAAAUUAUCUGGUGGGACGAUAAGACCCUAUAAAACUUGAUAUACUUGUCUUUAGUUUUAAGAUUUCUGUUUAAUUUGAGCUUAAUUAAUGUAUAUUCCGUUGGGGAGAUGUUGAUAUAAUGUAUUGAAUAACUGUCUGAUCAAAUUUAAUAGCAUUAGCUAGUUUGUGAUCCUUUUUUAGGGAUUAAUAGGUUAAGUUACUUUAGGGAUAACAGCGUAAUUUUCUCUGAGAGUUCUUAUCGACGAGAGUAGUUGCGACCUCGAUGUUGAAUUAAAAUUUCCGAUUAGUGCAGCCGCUUUUCUGGUAGGUCUGUUCGACCUUUAAAAUUUU